UUAAGGUGUUUACAUGCCUGUAUAUUCCGAUUAAAAUCGGCGUACGCCACCUAUGUUAAUACGAUUAUGCUUGCUGCGAUUAUGAGCUUAAUCGUAUUAUUUAGAUCGAAGUAUUGCGUUUACAUGAGGUAAAGCAUAAUCGCAAUAUCGCCAAAAUCUCAUUAUAAUCGCAUUAAGAGGGUCCAUGUAAACGCACUCAAUUCUGACUUUAUAAAUUGCAAUUGCGCAUUUAAAGUGGUUGACAACAAUAACAUUUUCUUAUUAUGAGUGCUCAGCAUACCCGGUUAAAAAAGUCACCGCUCACCACUAAUAUGUGUUUUAUUUUAUGUGUUUAAUUUUUUUCAGUGUUAUUUCUACACCACGUUUACCAUUUCUAAAGCUAUUAUAUUAUAUUAUAUUAUAUUUACGUAAAUUCUGCGUGACUUCUACGUGCUUUAAUGGAUGCGAGCGCUGAACUGGAGCGGAGGAAGUCACCAUGGAAACGGGGCGGCAGCUCAACUGUCAAACAGCUAAACGCCGUCUCUCACUGUUGUUUUCACUAAUUUCAGAUUCUUCUACGCUGAUGGCUGUGCACUAGAGUUAGAGCGUAUCUCCUGUUGAAGAACAUCUUUAGACAUUAUGAGUCAUAUGACUAAGACUGAAAAUAAUCGAUAAACCAAAAGAGUUUAGCUUCAACCCCAGUUAAGCAGACCUGAGCAGCUGAUCAAGGAUCACCAGAAACUCUGCAGAACGUUGGUCCUCCAUGCCCAGGACUGGACACCAGUGUUAUUGACGUACCCAGAGCAGAAGAUGACGAUGAGGUCACCGUAGCCACCCAGAUCCAGUCCGUAUCCAGAUCAGAUGGUGGAUCAGCACAGAUGACCUCUACAGCCCUGAACGACAGCGGAGACCAGGACAACUAGAUGAGCCCCAGAGACUGAUCCCCAGUGAAGACCCUGUCUCCUAGACGGCCAUCGGGACAAGACCACAGGAACCAGAUGAGUCCUAGAUUUAAACUGCUGAUUUUGUCUGGCCAGAGGAGAAUGACACUAUUUCGACACACUAUUUCCCCAUCUAAAUAAUGUAAAUCUGAUGUAAAGCCACCCAGCUUUAUGCCAAGCUGAUGUAAAACUGCUUUGACACAAUUUGCAUUGUUAAAAAUGCUGUACAAAUAAUAGUGACUUGACUUGACUGUCAUGCUCAAUGACAUGAGCUCAGGUCAUUGAUUGGCCGAAUUUAGCACGUGACUAUCACGUAAAGGCUCUUGCUAUCAAGUUGUACUAUUAUUAUUGUUAUUUUAGCAGAUAAGUGAUCUAUAAGUGUUUUGUUUCAUACUAUUCAAGGAUUCAUAGAAUAAUGCUUGUUUUACCUCUUUUUUACAUCACAUAAAACAAUAAAAUAAUUAUUUCUAGCAUAUGGAAGCAAGUAUACAAGUAUUCACACAAACUGAACUUCUGUUCAAUAACAUUAAAACUUCCCGAGUCACAAUGAGAGACAGUUUCAAAAGAGCAUAUAUCACUUUAAUUUAUUUAAAUGCACUUUACAGUAAAUGUGUUCAAUAUUUUUAUAUAACUGUGAAUUUAUUGUUAAUUUAGUGCGGUUACUUUUUUAAAAGAAAGAAACAAGGAAA